GUACCGGUUAUUUAUGUUGUGAUAAUGCUUCUGGAUAUAAUAAUGCCCAUUACCUGUUUGUUAAAAUGAUUCAACGGAACCAUUAACAGAAGAAAACUCUUUCUUUUCUCAACUGCCCACGUAGCUUUUAUGUCAAUUUGUGAUGUUUUGGUGCUAGUUAAGUAUAGCAUUUCACGGACGCUAUAUAAUUUCCCACUCUAGUGUUUAUCAUUCUUCGGCUGCAUCUCGAAGUAGAGCACGUGCUUCUUUUCUGGUUCAAUGUCAUGGGCAUUAGCAUUGCAACAUUCAUCGUUUGUUUCAUUAUGUAAUCAUUUUCGCGCUUCUCUUUCUGUUGUUCAGCAUGGCUCUUUUCAUAAGCUGCUACUUCACUUCUUAGACCACAGCUUGUUCUUUCAAACAAAUUUUCAAUUUCCUUUUAUUAAAAAAUUCUAUCAUCUCUAACCAACUUGAUUUGGUUAAGUGGUUAACUCACUUGUCUGUUUAAGUAAGUGUGGGGUUUCAAAUCCUGCCUUGUGUAUAUAACAAUCUAUUGGCCAGCGGCAAAUGUUUAAAACCCUUAAAUGGAGCUCCGAUCUGUGAUGAAUUAGUCUUUGGCCUGCCAAGCUGAAAAAUACCGUAAAAAACCAAAAAGAAAAAUUCUAUCAUCUCUGUCUUUAUUUUUUAAAGGUGUUGAUAGAAUCCUCUCUAAGUGCUAGAGUUUUAGUUCAGUCUGCGCUUCUCCCAACAACCAGUGGUAGUACAAAACUCUCCAAUUUAACUCUUCCUUUUUGUGUCCCUAUUUAUAUGAACUAAUUUAUAAAUACAUAAGAACUUUUUAGAAAAAGGCUGUUUAAUUUCUAUGACUCUGUUGUGUUGUUGUAUUAUGAUGCUGGGUUAAGUGAUAUGAUAAUGAUGUUAUGUUUAGAAACUAUAGUGCUAAAUUGCUUCUUUGAUUUAUUAUGCAUAGAUCCUUUGUACAUGUCUUUCAACUGGUACAUGACAACUGUUUUUAAAGAUAUUUAGUAAUUUUUGAGUGGAUAGGAUUAGGUGUUUUCAUGCAUGGGCCAUUGCAAAAACAAAUAGUAUGCGGUUAGGUUCUCAUCCUAAGUUCCUAACUUCUUGUCUGCUGCAAUUAUUCGUGAUUUAAGUUUGUCAAACUAUGUAUAGUGCAUUUGAUUCUUAUCAAUUCUUACUGUUUCUUCAUUUUUCAAUAAUCAUUUGGGCUUGAAUUACAGAGGAGAAGUAACAUUCAUGGAUUCUUAGGGCCAGACAACUCCUUUGCCGCGACUUUAGAAUGUUGAAAAGGUUAUAUAUAAAAUUGAAAGCAUUUAGCUCUAACAUCAUGCGGAUGACAGAAUAGCAGUGUUUGUUUUUACCAAGACUUCCUCCUUGUCAAGGUUUUGGAGGUUGCAGGAGGAGUCAUGGAUGAACUUGCAAGCCCUAUAAGUCCUAGGAAAGACGUGGUCCAAAACCAGUCUUGAAUUCAUGCAAUUAAUCAAGCUUAUGAAAAUUCAACUGCCUCUGGUCUUUGCAUUCUACAAAUUCCUUAUUCAAGUUGAUAUAGAGUGAGAAGCAUAAAAGGAACAAUGAGUUUUGCUACAAGAAAGCGGGACUUAUCAUGCAGCAGUCUGAAAUGAUGUAUGUUUCGAAGCCUGUGUCGAGUUGAGCAGAAAGAGUCGGUGAGAAGCUCCGUUUCAAUGGUCAAAGACUUUCCGGAUUUAGGAAGAAGAAUGCAAGAACAAAGGUGAGUUUAUUUAUACCGUUUUCUUUACGUAUGUUAGAGAAUAUUAAGAAUAUCUUACAAUUCCGUAUCACCUUUGUAAUUUGAUUAACUAGGUUCACAUUACUACUCUUAGUGGAUUUGAGCUCAUAUUAGUAGUACUAGUAUGAAUAAGGUUACAGCUAGUUUGUUGCAUCCAUUAUCUAUCAAUAGAUACCAAGUAAAAUACACAUUAUUUGUUAAGAACAAA